rnacentral:sRNA from 1 species
AGUGGAAAUCUAGGUCAGAGCAGAGAAGGCGGACCCUCGGGAAUUGUUAAAUACCCUUAAAAACAAAAACAGAGGGAGAGAGAUUUUAAAGGGGAUCUAGUGAAUGUCACCAGCCUUUUCUUAAUGUCCAGGCCUUUUCUUCUCUGGGCUUUUUUGAGGCACCAGUGACAGGCUUUUGGAGCCUUCAUUUUGCCCUACAUGUAUUUAUUACUCUUAAAUUGGGUUUGAAGAUUUUGUUGCCUUUAUGGGAGAAUGUUUGCUUUAUUACAGGAAUGGAAUAAAAAUGGAAUGUUUGAGUGAGAGGAAUGAGAAUAUAGAUCAAAGAGAGGUCCAUGUUGUUUGAAAAUGAAAAAGCUGUAUACAGAUACUUUUCUGAACUCUCAACUCUCACUUCUCAUCCGGCAAUAUCUAUUCAUAAUUAUCCUGUUUUGUUUUUCAGUACAUAUUUGUCUCCUUACUCUCCAGAGAUUCAACUUACAAACUACUAAAAUCUGUGUGUGGACACUUAGAAAAUACAAGUGUUGGUAACAGUCCCAAUCCAUCUUCUGCUGAAAACAGUUUCCGAGCAGACCGCCCUUCAUCUCUGCCUCUGGAUUUCAAUGAUGAAUUCUCAGAUCUGGAUGGAGUGGUUCAACAAAGAAGGCAAGACAUGGAAGGAUACAGCAGUUCUGGUUCUCAA